rnacentral:rRNA from 1 species
CUAAUCUGCGAUAAGCGCCGGUAAGGUGAUAUGAACCGUUAUAACCGGCGAUUUCCGAAUGGGGAAACCCAGUGUGAUUCGUCACACUAUCAUUAACUGAAUCCAUAGGUUAAUGAGGCGAACCGGGGGAACUGAAACAUCUAAGUACCCCGAGGAAAAGAAAUCAACCGAGAUUCCCCCAGUAGCGGCGAGCGAACGGGGAGGAGCCCAGAGCCUGAAUCAGCAUGUGUGUUAGUGGAAGCGUCUGGAAAGGCGCGCGAUACAGGGUGACAGCCCCGUACACAAAAGCGCAUGUGCUGUGAGCUCGAUGAGUAGGGCGGGACACGUGGUAUCCUGUCUGAAUAUGGGGGGACCAUCCUCCAAGGCUAAAUACUCCUGACUGACCGAUAGUGAACCAGUACCGUGAGGGAAAGGCGAAAAGAACCCCGGCGAGGGGAGUGAAAAAGAACCUGAAACCGUGUACGUACAAGCAGUGGGAGCACAGGUUUACCUGUGUGACUGCGUACCUUUUGUAUAAUGGGUCAGCGACUUAUAUUCUGUAGCAAGGUUAACCGAAUAGGGGAGCCGUAGGGAAACCGAGUCUUAAUUGGGCGUUAAGUUGCAGGGUAUAGACCCGAAACCCGGUGAUCUAGCCAUGGGCAGGUUGAAGGUUGGGUAACACUAACUGGAGGACCGAACCGACUAAUGUUGAAAAAUUAGCGGAUGACCUGUGGCUGGGGGUGAAAGGCCAAUCAAACCGGGAGAUAGCUGGUUCUCCCCGAAAGCUAUUUAGGUAGCGCCUCGUGAAUUCAUCUCCGGGGGUAGAGCACUGUUUCGGCUAGGGGGCCAUCCCGGCUUACCAACCCGAUGCAAACUGCGAAUACCGGAGAAUGUUAUCACGGGAGACACACGGCGGGUGCUAACGUCCGUCGUGAAGAGGGAAACAACCCAGACCGCCAGCUAAGGUCCCAAAGUCAUGGUUAAGUGGGAAACGAUGUGGGAAGGCCCAGACAGCCAGGAUGUUGGCUUAGAAGCAGCCAUCAUUUAAAGAAAGCGUAAUAGCUCACUGGUCGAGUCGGCCUGCGCGGAAGAUGUAACGGGGCUAAACCAUGCACCGAAGCUGCGGCAGCGAACGUAUCACUUAAAGCGAUUCAGCGGGUUACGAUUGACGGAGCGAAGCGACGUCAAAGCGUAUACAAAGUCGAGUCGGUUUAAGGAUACGUU